rnacentral:rRNA from 1 species
AGAGUUUGAUCAUGGCUCAGGAUGAAUGCUGGCGGCGUGCCUAAUACAUGCAAGUCGAGCGGUAAGGCCUUCGGGGUACACGAGCGGCGGACGGCUGAGUAACGCGUGGGAACAUGCCCCAAAGUGAGGGAUAACGCACCGAAAGGUGUGCUAAUACCGCAUAUGGUCUUCGGAUUAAAGGAUUUAUCCGCUUUGGGAGUGGCCCGCGUACGAUUAGAUUGUUGGUGAGGUAACGGCUCACCAAGUCGACGAUCGUUAACUGGUCUGAGAGGAUGAUCAGUCAGACUGGAACUGAGACACGGUCCAGACUCCUACGGGAGGCAGCAGUAAGGAAUCUUCCACAAUGGGCGAAAGCCUGAUGGAGCAACGCCGCGUGCAGGAUGAAGGCCCUCGGGUCGUAAACUGCUUUUAUGAGUGAAGAAUAUGACGGUAACUCAUGAAUAAGCACCGGCUAACUACGUG